rnacentral:rRNA from 1 species
GUGAGGAAUAUUGGACAAUGGGCACAAGCCUGAUCCAGCCAUGCCGCGUGCAGGAAGACGCAUCUAUGGUGUGUAAACUGCUUUUGUACGGGAAGAAACACUCCCUCGUGAGGGAGCUUGACGGUACCGUAAGAAUAAGGAUCGGCUAACUCCGUGCCAGCAGCCGCGGUAAUACGGAGGAUCCAAGCGUUAUCCGGAAUCAUUGGGUUUAAAGGGUCCGUAGGCGGUUUAAUUAGUCAGUGGUGAAAGCCCAUCGCUCAACGAUGGAACGGCCAUUGAUACUGUUAGACUUGAAUUACAAGGAAGUAACUAGAAUAUGUAGUGUAGCGGUGAAAUGCUUAGAUAUUACAUGGAAUACCAAUUGCGAAGGCAGGUUACUACUUGUGGAUUGACGCUGAUGGACGAAAGCGUGGGGAGCGAACAGGAUUAGAAACCCUUGUAGUCC